AUUGAACGCUGGCGGCAGGCCUAACACAUGCAAGUCGAACGGUAGCACAGAGAGCUUGCUCUCGGGUGACGAGUGGCGGACGGGUGAGUAACGUCUGGGAAACUGCCCGAUGGAGGGGGAUAACUACUGGAAACGGUAGCUAAUACCGCAUAACGUCGCAAGACCAAAGUGGGGGACCUUCGGGCCUCACACCAUCGGAUGUGCCCAGAUGGGAUUAGCUAGUAGGUGGGGUAAUGGCUCACCUAGGCGACGAUCCCUAGCUGGUCUGAGAGGAUGACCAGCCACACUGGAACUGAGACACGGUCCAGACUCCUACGGGAGGCAGCAGUGGGGAAUAUUGCACAAUGGGCGCAAGCCUGAUGCAGCCAUGCCGCGUGUAUGAAGAAGGCCUUCGGGUUGUAAAGUACUUUCAGCGGGGAGGAAGGCGGUGAAGUUAAUAGCUUCACCGAUUGACGUUACCCGCAGAAGAAGCACCGGCUAACUCCGUGCCAGCCGCCGCGGUAA
rnacentral:rRNA from 1 species